rnacentral:lncRNA from 1 species
CCGACCCAUUCAUUUUAUUAUGCAUGCGGAAGUGAAACAAAUCCCCUGACAACAUUUAACUUGGGAUAGAAAAGCAGGAAACAAUUUCACAACCAAUCACUUACAUAAACUAACGAAGUUACAAACGAAGGCCUAUAGCCAAAAGUCUACAAAAGACCGGCUCUUAAAAAGGAAUUGUCCUACGACCUACAAGUCGGACACGUUCUCCAAUCUUAUGCCUUCACCUCUGCAACUCCUCAAGGCCAACCAAAGCUAUCUGGCCACUCCGUCCACCAGGGACCUGAAAUUUUAAUCCCACAACCGGGAUGAGACGAUGUCUCAGCAAGUUCAACCCCCUAAACCCCUAUUAGAAAGAAAAUACGCCCAAUGGUGGCCUAGCCACAUCACACAGAGAACUUACCUCGCCUCAAUUCUUCCCUGCAGGUUAGCACAAUUCAAAUCACUCAAUCACAGAUAGUAAUAGGAACUUAAACAACCAAAACGCAUUCACUUUCAUAUAACCAACAACCACAGAGGUUCUGAUUAUAAGACUAAAUUGUUAUGACACGUCCCAUUCCAUACCGCACAAUUCCGUCCCAUAAUCCGACCCAUCAAUAACACUCAACAUGCAUUCCAAUUGUCAUUCACGGCCAAACAAGGGCAUAGCUUACUCGCAGUUCAGCUAUCUACUGGCCUAUAACCAGGCAUUGCCUCCCCACCUUGGAGCGCGGCUUCGUCAGUACAUCGACGGCAUUCCCGAAGGAGCAUGGGUCCAGUCGGCCUAGCCACUACUGCGACCCGAGCCACGUCACUCUCUCUUGACGGCAUUUCUAGAAGAACAAAGGUCCAGUCGGCUUAGCCACUACUGCGACCCGAGCCACGUCACUCGCCCUUGACGGCAUUUCUAGAAGAACAAAGGUCCAGUCGGCCUAGCUACUACUGCGACCCGAGCCACGUCACUCUCUCUUGACGGCAUUUCUAGAAGAACAAAGGUCCAGUCGGCCUAGCCACUACUGCGACCCGAGUCUUUCAACCAGCACACAACAAUUCAAUAAUUAAUUGCACAAAUCAUCACUCAAUUUGUAAUAUCUAAUCAUCAAAUUCAUAAUCUGAAUACAAAGCAGCGAUCAGCACAAAAUUCUGAGAAUUUAGGGUCCCAACUUAAUUUUCGGAAUUUAUUUAAUAAUUAAAUUUAUUUCGAAAAUUAAUUAAAUAAUAAUAUCCCUAUCUUUCACAAUCCACACUCGAUUUAUAAUAUACAAUUGUCAAUUUCAAAAUCUGACUACACAGCAGCGAGCGGCACGAAAUUCUGAGAAUUUAGGGUCCCGACAAAAUUUUCGGAAUUUAAUAAAUAAUUAAAUUUAUUCCGAAAAUAAUUAAAUAAUAAUAUUUUAAUAAUUUCGAAUAAUAAUAUAUUAUUAAAUUAUUAAAUAAUUUCGAGAUAUUUAAAUAAAUCAAAAGUAAAUUCCUUCAUGUCAAAUCACCAUUAUACUAAUAUAAACAUCAAUUUAACCUUAACCAAACAUACUUUAAGUUAAUCCAACAUCUUAAUCUAAUUCACAAUUAAAUAAACUCAACUAACCACCUAAGCUUAAUUUAACUUAAGCUAAACACACCUAAAGCAUAAUUAACCCUCUAAGCGAGGUUUAGUGAGCUAAACUCACCCGACUAACGAACCGAGCGGACCAAAACGACGGGGAUGAUGCGAGGAUCGACUUUCCUCAAGGCGGGCCGAGCAUCCGGGCUCGGGAAGGCGGCCAAAAUGGGCCAAACACCCGCUGCCGUACCCAUUUCUGCAGCUGCUGUCCAUGGCUGAAAAAAAGAGAAGAUAAGCUCGGGUUGAGGCGAGGAUGGGUCGGGGGAAAGUGGAGGAGUCGAACCGGACUAAGGCGGGACCCAAACGGUGGCCGGAGGGGGCUGAACCGCAGCCCGAGCUAGCCGAACAACCGCUUGGAAGUGAAGACGGUGGCGGAGAGGCAAGGCAGACGACGGCGAGCGGACGUGCGACUACGCGCGUGAAUGGCGGCGACAACGACGGCACCGGCGGCGAACGGCGAGCGACGAAGGAGGCGGACGAAGGCCGGCGUCGGGCUGCUGGUUUUCUUCCCGUUCGGUUCUCUCUCUCCUCCCCCCAAGUUCC